rnacentral:rRNA from 1 species
GACGAACCGUGCAAACGUUAUUCGGAAUCACUGGGCUUAAAGGGCGCGUAGGCGGGCCGCCAGGUCCGGGGUGAAAGCCUCCAGCUCAACUGGAGAAGUGCCUUGGAUACCGGCGGCCUCGAGGGAGGUAGGGGCGUGCGGAACUUCGGGCGGAGCGGUGAAAUGCGUAGAUAUCCGAAGGAACACCGGUGGCGAAAGCGGCGCGCUGGAUCUCUUCUGACGCUGAGGCGCGAAAAGCCAGGGGGAGCAAACGGG